rnacentral:rRNA from 1 species
AAGGGUGCGUAACACGUGGGCAAUCUGCCGGGAAAUGGGGGAUAGCUCGCCGAAAGGCGAAUUAAUACCGCAUGUGGCCAGGAAGGACAUCCUUCCGACGCCAAAGUCGGGGCAACCUGACGUUUCCUGAUGAGCCCGCGGCCUAUCAGCUAGUUGGUGAGGUAACGGCCCACCAAGGCUAUGACGGGUAGCUGGUCUGAGAGGACGACCAGCCACACUGGAACUGAGACACGGUCCAGACACCUACGGGUGGCAGCAGUCGAGAAUUUUUCUCAAUGGGGGAAACCCUGAAGGAGCGACGCCGCGUGAAGGAUGAAGGUCUUCGGAUUGUAAACUUCUGUCAUUAGAGAACAAUUGCACGGGCAGUAACUGGCCUGUGUUUGAUAGUAUCUGAAGAGGAAGGGACGGCUAACUCUGUGCCAGCAGCCGCGGUAAUACAGAGGUCCCAAGCGUUGUUCGGAUUCAUUGGGCGUAAAGGGUGCGUAGGCGGUGCCGUAAGUCGGAUGUGAAAUCCCGGAGCUUAACUCCGGAACUGCAUUCGAUACUGCGGUGCUUGAGGACUGGAGAGGAGAUUGG